AUACAGAGGGUGCAAGCGUUAUUCGGAAUCACUGGGCGUAAAGGAUGCGUAGGCGGAUAAUCAAGUCAAAAGUGAAAUCCCACGGCUUAACCGUGGAACUGCUUUCGAAACUGGUUAUCUAGAAUAUGGAAGAGGCAGAUGGAAUUAGUGGUGUAGGGGUAAAAUCCGUAGAGAUCACUAGGAAUACCGAUUGCGAAGGCGAUCUGCUGGGACAUUAUUGACGCUGAGGCAUGAAAGCGUGGGGAGCAAACAGGAUUAGAAACCCUAGUAGUCC
rnacentral:rRNA from 1 species